GUUGUCGUCAGCUCGUGUCGUGAGAUGUUGGGUUAAGUCCCGCAACGAGCGCAACCCUUGUCAUUAGUUGCUACAUUCAGUUGGGCACUCUAAUGAGACUGCCGGUGACAAACCGGAGGAAGGUGGGGAUGACGUCAAGUCCUCAUGGCCCUUAUAGGUGGGGCUACGCACGUCAUACAAUGGAUGGUACAAAGGGUCGCCAACCCGCGAGGGGGAGCCAAUCCCAUAAAGCCAUUCGUAGUCCGGAUCGCAGUCUGCAACUCGACUGCGUGAAGUCGGAAUCGCUAGUAAUCGUGGAUCAGAAUGUCACGGUGAAUACGUUCCCGGGUCUU
rnacentral:rRNA from 1 species